UACGUAGGGGGCAAGCGUUGUCCGGAUUUAUUGGGCGUAAAGAGCGUGUAGGCGGCCUGACAGGUCUGCUGUGAAAACUCGAGGCUCAACCUCGAGAUGUCGGCGGAAACCGUCUGGCUAGAGUCCGGAAGAGGAGAGUGGAAUUCCUGGUGUAGCGGUGAAAUGCGCAGAUAUCAGGAAGAACACCCGUGGCGAAGGCGGCUCUCUGGGACGGUACUGACGCUGAGACGCGAAAGCGUGGGGAGCGAACAGG
rnacentral:rRNA from 1 species